UACGUAGGGACCAAGCGUUGUUCGGAUUUACUGGGCGUAAAGGGCGCGUAGGCGGCAAAUUAAGUCAUCUGUGAAAUCUCCGAGCUUAACUCGGAACGGUCAGGUGAUACUGAUCUGCUAGAGUGCGGAAGGGGCAAUCGGAAUUCUUGGUGUAGCGGUGAAAUGCGUAGAUAUCAGGAGGAAUACCGAUGGCGAAGGCGGCCUUCUGGACGGUGACUGACGCUGAGACGCGAAAGCGUGGGGAGCAAACAGG
rnacentral:rRNA from 1 species